GCGGCGGACGGGUGAGUAAUGCUUAGGAAUCUGCCUAUUAGUGGGGGACAACAUUCCGAAAGGAAUGCUAAUACCGCAUACGCCCUACGGGGGAAAGCAGGGGAUCUUCGGACCUUGCGCUAAUAGACGAGCCUAAGUCAGAUUAGCUAGUUGGUGGGGUAAAGGCCUACCAAGGCGACGAUCUGUAGCGGGUCUGAGAGGAUGAUCCGCCACACUGGGACUGAGACACGGCCCAGACUCCUACGGGAGGCAGCAGUGGGGAAUAUUGGACAAUGGGGGGAACCCUGAUCCAGCCAUGCCGCGUGUGUGAAGAAGGCCUUAUGGUUGUAAAGCACUUUAAGCGAGGAGGAGGCUCUUUUGGUUAAUACCCAAGAUGAGUGGACGUUACUCGCAGAAUAAGCACCGGCUAACUCUGUGCCAGCAGCCGCGGUAAUACAGAGGGUGCAAGCGUUAAUCGGAUUUACUGGGCGUAAAGCGUGUGUA
rnacentral:rRNA from 1 species